GUGGGAAGGUCGCAAGAGAUCACGUGACCCCUGGACUCUACAAGGGUCAUAAAUGCAAUUCAGUUCCCAGGUGAAGGGAAAAUAUAUUAAGUUACUCUUUUAUAAUAGUGUUUUAUGUGUUGUUAAGCUAGAAUAUUCCUCUCACUCCUUUUGUUACAUCUUACCCUAACCCCCACCCUAACCCCCAAAGUGUAUUCAGUUAAAGUAUGUGAUAGCUUGUCACAAUUUUCUUGGAAAACAGGAACAUCCACCCAGGGCCAGGCAACAAGUAAAUAAGAUAAGGGAUAUCCUCCCAAGGUGAACCUCAGAAGUAAAACAAGAUAAGAUAUCCCAUGCAUAGAAAACAAUCUCAUGUUGACCCUUUAGUUUAUAGUUUAACUCAUCGUAUAGUUUCAGAUAAUAAGGGGGAGUUGGGAGGGCUUCUUAGGCGUAGCGUGCAUUGUGCAGGGGGUAUAAAUAUAUUAGUUUGAAAAUAGUACUUUGCUCUCCUUGUACUUAAUCCACUUGGGAAGGGUCUUGGAGGCCACGCUUGCAACUGCUUUCUUUUAUUUGGUUCAAUAAACGCUUGAAAUUGU